GGGAGUUGCUUUCCCUCGGCGGGGGUGGGAGAGCGCCGAGCGGCCCCCGUGACGUGGAGGGGAAAGGAGGAGCGCCGUCGCCGCGCUCCCGCAGCCGGAGCUCCCCGCCCCUGCACUCCGGAGUCCCCGCUCCACGCUUGGGACAAAGUUGCGAGGCGCGCGCGGCGCGCUCCACUCCUGCUGAGCCGCGCGGCUCUGCGCCGCUGAUCUGAGCGUCGUCCAGACCACACGUGGGGGAGGAGCAGAGAAAGAGGGACAGAGGAUCUGAAGGGAGCUGACAUCUGAAAAACACCGACAGCAUGGAGCUGGAUGCUGGGUUUGAACUCAAAAAACACAAGAUCAUGACCUGAGCUGAAGUCGGGUGCCCAGCUGACUGACCCACCCAGGCAUCCCUCAUUUGGUCUUUAUAACAAUCCUGAGUGUCAUCAGAGAAAGGACACCAUAUCUUACAACUAAUGAUUCUGGGGCUCAAAGGGGGCAAGGAGUUUGCCCAGGUCAAACAGCAAAUCAGUUGUAGAAUUGGUAUCAAGCACACUGGCCUCAAGAGUCCUUGUUCAGGAGUUUCCUUACCAAAUGUUGUUUCCCCCUGGGUGAGUCUUCCAGUACUGGUUGUGGUGUCCUUGGCCCAAGGAAAGCAUUUGAAGAACAGGGUAAUCCUGCAAGAAAUGAAAAGCCUUCCUAAAGCCAUGUGAAUUCCAAAUUGGAAUUGUGAUAGACCUCCCCCAGGCAUCUGAAUGGUUUCACUAAACCUUCUAAGGAUUUUUGACUGUAUUGAAGAAUCUCCCCGUAUUAAAGCAUCUCCUUUGGCCUUCAGAGACAUAAUAGGAUACAGUGGUCUUCUGAGAAGCUCAGCUAAUUAUCUCAUGAAAAUAGGGGUUGAAUGGAACUUGAGGGCACCUGGAGACAUCAGUGAGAAGUUGAGACAUUGCGUACAAAAGACAACAAAUUACAUCACAAGAUGGUAAGCUGGCAAAAACUGAUAAUCACAACUGCGUGCUGGAUCUCACCAGUGUGGAGUUAAGCGCAGAUGGCCAAAUUUUGGCAUGUUUGAAAGAUUUUCCAAUAAGAAUCUGUAACUGUGGCAAGCAGCGGGAAGCAAGCAGAAAGUCUAGCCUUGGGCUGAGCAUCUGAUGAUUGAUAUGUGUUUUCCUGGCUUUUCCUUUACUUAGUAAGCAGGCAGCUUGCUGUAUCCUCUGCUGGCUGUGUUUAAUGGUGUAUUUAAAGGAUGAAAUGCUUUUGAA